rnacentral:tRNA from 1 species
UGAGACGUUAGUAAACCUGUUACAUAGCCUUGUCAAGACUAAAUCACAGGUGAAAAUCCUGUACUUCUCAC